rnacentral:miRNA from 3 species
AGGACUGUCUAACCUGAGAAU